rnacentral:lncRNA from 1 species
CAUUUCUACAGUAAGAUAUACUUCAAUAUUACCAGUGGCUAUCUCUGUUGGCACUGGGAUUUGGGGUGUCUUAAAAAAAUUCUGUAGUAAUCAUAAAGUAAAAUUAUAUAGUAAAUAACAGUGGAAUUUGUUUUUAAUUUAAUUGUCUUUUAAUUAAAAUACAACUAUGGACAUAGGAAACCUCUAGAUUUGGAAGUUUUCUGUUUUUGUUGAUUCAUCAACAAGUCAUCAACAUUACUUGUUGACUGUUGGUGUCACCCAUGCUAUAAAAAGGAUAAAUGACAGGGCAUGGAGUUUGUCACCUCUGAUAUAAACUUAGAUUUGUUUUGUAGCAACCAGAAGUCAAGUCCAGCUCAGCAAAAUAUGCUGUUUAAUAUAAAGAGCUGAUUGGUUGCUACCCUUGCCUUCUUUUGACAGCCAAUACAGAGAGAGGGAGAGAGAAAAAGGAGGGAUCAGAAGCUAUAUUUCUAACUUUUGAUUAGUGAACUAGAGAAGGAAGCCUAACACUGCAGGACCUUGACCUUCACAUCUACUUUAGUGGCCCCUCUGGGUCAGAGAUGGAUGGUUUGUACAAGUUUUCUAUGUAUAUUAAAAAUGUUAUAGAAAUACAGGGGGGAAUAUGAUUUAUGGUGUUUUCAGUUUAACUUUCUUUAGAAAUAUGGGCACACGAUUUAAAAAUCAAUAUGUUCCAGAACACUUUUCAUGUAAAGGAAAUUCUUUGAAUUUUAAAUUGUAUUCUCUCUCUGACACUCUUUACAGAAAUGAAAAUGCAUUUCUCUGAGCCCAGAAAUUGAGUUUCUGAAAUCUGAAUCACUGAGGUGCCUGAAACUCUGCUGUCUAAUGGAUGAAUGGGUUGAAAAUGUGAAGAUAUGAUUACCAUGAAUCCUUUGUACAAGCAAGCUGCUUCUGACCAUGAGAAAAUCAGUAGCAUUCCUGGCACUGUAGAACCAAACCUUGACAAGUUCAGCAGCAUCCUCAGCAUCACAGAACUACGAAGAGGUCAGCAGUAUCCCAGCACCAAAAUCACAGCAUCUCCAAUAGCAUCGAAGCAUUAAAAGGAAUCAGGAAUUCCAGAUUCUUCACAGUAUCAGGGGCCUUGAGGAGGAAGCAGCUGUACUAAUAAAUUCACAGAUAUUCUGGAUUAACUGACUGCAACCUGGAAGAGCAGGAGCACAUUGUUGAGUCUACAGUAGUUUUCUGUUGUGCAGAAAAUGGCAAAUAAAAACAUGUACUUGCUUCAAUCUUCAUAUCCUUAUUAUUUCUUCCCUUCCCCACUCAAUCCUUUUGGAAGGCCUAGAGACUGAACC